rnacentral:rRNA from 1 species
GAUGAACGCUGGCUACAGGCUUAACACAUGCAAGUCGAGGGGAAACGCCGGGGAAGCUUGCUUCCCCGGGCGUCGACCGGCGCACGGGUGAGUAACGCGUAUCCAACCUGCCUCUGACUGAGGGAUAACCCGUCGAAAGUCGGCCUAAUACCUCAUGGCAUCGUCUGCGGGCAUCCAACGACGAUUAAAGAUUUCAUCGGUCAGAGAUGGGGAUGCGUCUGAUUAGCUUGUUGGCGGGGUAACGGCCCACCAAGGCGACGAUCAGGAGGGGUUCUGAGAGGCAGGUCCCCCACAUUGGAACUGAGCCACGGUCCAAACACCUACGAGAGGCUGCAGUGAAAAAUAUUGGUCAAUGGGCGAGAGCCUGAACCAGCCAAGUAGCGUGCAGGAUGACGGCCCUAUGGGUUGUAAACUGCUUUUAUGCGGGGAUAAAGUGAGGGACGUGUCCUUCAUUGCAGGUACCGCAUGAAUAAGGACCGGCUAAUUCCGUG